rnacentral:lncRNA from 1 species
CUUAUCUCUGCUCAAAAAAAAAAAAAAAAAAAAAAAAUUAGCCAGAUGUAAUGGUGUGUGCCUGUAGUCCCAGCUACUCAGGAGGAUGAAGCAAGCAGAUUGCUUGUACCCUGGAGUUCAAAUUUGUAGUGAGCUAUGAUCAUGCCGCUGUAUUCCAGCCUGGGCAACAGAGUGAGACCCUGUCUCAAAAAGAUUAUAAUUUUCUCUUCCUGUAAUCUCCCACAGCAUCUCUUGAUACUCUUCACUCUCCAUUUUCUCUUCUAGUCUAAAUGAACUUCUUUAAGUUACUUAAACAUAUCUGCUGUCAUUUUCUGGCUUUGGAACGCUGUAAUUUUUGCCUAGAAUACCUCUUCCUCCUUCCCUGCAACCCCUUCUCCCAGGCUUCUCUAGCUAACUGCA